rnacentral:rRNA from 1 species
UGGGGAAUAUUGGACAAUGGGCGCAAGCCUGAUCCAGCAAUGCCGCGUGUGUGAAGAAGGCCUUCGGGUUGUAAAGCACUUUUAUCAGGAGCGAAACGCUGUCGGCUAAUACCCGGCGGAACUGACGGUACCUGAGGAAUAAGCACCGGCUAACUUCGUGCCAGCAGCCGCGGUAAUACGAAGGGUGCAAGCGUUAAUCGGAAUUACUGGGCGUAAAGCGUGCGUAGGCGGUGACUUAAGUCUGUUGUGAAAUCCCCGGGCUCAACCUGGGAAUGGCAGUGGAUACUGGGUCGCUAGAGUGUGAUAGAGGAUGGUGGAAUUCCCGGUGUAGCGGUGAAAUGCGUAGAGAUCGGGAGGAACAUCAGUGGCGAAGGCGGCCAUCUGGAUCAACACUGACGCUGAGGCACGAAAGCGUGGGGAGCAAACA